UACAGAGGGGGCCAGCGUUAUUCGGAAUUAUUGGGCGUAAAGGGCGCGUAGGCGGCCAUGCGUGUCUUCCGUGAAAUCCCUCGGCUCAACCGAGGACGUGCGGAAGAAACUGCAAGGCUCGAGUCCGGAAGAGGGGGGCGGAAUUCCCAGUGUAGCGGUGAAAUGCGUAGAUAUUGGGAGGAACACCAGUGGCGAAGGCGGUCCCCUGGGCCGGAACUGACGCUGAGGCGCGAAAGCGUGGGGAGCGAACAGG
rnacentral:rRNA from 1 species